rnacentral:rRNA from 1 species
AUCGAACGCUGGCGGCAGGCCUAACACAUGCAAGUCGAACGAGUGGCGGACGGGUGAGCAAUGUCUGGGAAACUGCCUGAUGGAGGGGGAUAACUACUGGAAACGGUAGCUAAUACCGCAUACCAUCGGAUGUGCCCAGAUGGGAUUAGCUAGUAGGUGGGGUAACGGCUCACCUAGGCGACGAUCCCUAGCUGGUCUGAGAGGAUGACCGGCCAAACUGGAACUGAGACACGGUCCAGACUCCUACGGGAGGCAGCAGUGGGGAAUAUUGGACAAUGGGCGAAAGUCUGAUGCAGCAAGGCCGCGUGUAUGAAGAAGGCCUUCGGGUUGUAAAGUACUUUCAGCGGGGAGGCGUUACCCGCAGAAGAAGCACCGGCUAACUCCGUGCCAGCAGCCGCGGUAAUUC